GCUAUGGGGGGGGUGCUUAACCAUGCAAGGUCGAACGAAGCGUAUUCAAGUGAUUGUUUUCGGACAAAGCGAGGAUAUGAAAAAAAGGGCGGACGGGUGAGUAACGCGUGGGUAACCUGCCUUUCACAGCGGGAUAACAGAGGGAAGCUUCUGCUAAUACCGCAUAUACCUUUAUAACGCAUGUUAGGGAGGGGAAAGAAUUAUCGGUGAGAGAUGGGCCCGCGUCCGAUUAGAUAGUUGGUGGGGUAACAGCCUACCAAGUCGACGAUCGGUAGCCGGCUUGAGAGAGUGAACGGCCACAUUGGGACUGAGACACGGCCCAAACUCCUACGGGAGGCAGCAGUGGGGGAUAUUGGACAAUGGGGGCAACCCUGAUCCAGCGACGCCGCGUGAGUGAAGAAGUAUUUCGGUACGUAAAGCUCUAUCAGCAGGGAAGAAAGAAGACGGUACCUGACUAAGAAGCCCCGGCUAACUACGUGCCAGCAGCCGCGGUAAUACGUAGGGGGCAAGCGUUAUCCGGAAUUACUGGGUGUAAAGGGAGCGUAGACGGUUAAACAAGUCUGAAGUGAAAUGCCGGGGCUCAACCUCGGAGCUGCUUUGGAAACUGUAGAACUGGAGUGUCGGAGGGGUAAGCGGAAUUCCCAGUGUAGCGGUGAAAUGCGUAGAUAUUUGGGAGGAACACCGGCGGCGAAGGCGGCUUACUGGACGACAACUGACGUUGAGGCUCGAAGGCGUGGGUAGCAAACAGGAUUAGAUACCCUGGUAGUCCACGCAGUAAAACGA
rnacentral:rRNA from 1 species